AGAGGAUAAAACCAAGUUGCUUCAUUGAAGGCUCGUUGAAGGAAGUUCAAUUGGUAAUGUUCCAGACUUAUGAAAUCUUCCGUUAUUUAUUCACUUCCAAGGUAACAUAGAUAUUUGAUUUAGGUUUUCAAGUUAAACGAAGAAUCACCUGUCAAUCAAGUAAUAUAAAUACUAGCUGCUUUUAUUGCACUCAAGCUUGAAAUACCUUUUUUACUCCUUCCUCAGUCUUCCGUGCAUGUUAAUAAGCAUGAUACUUUAUCUUUCGAAUAUGGUUGAAAGCCAUAAGAAUGUGCAUAGGGUGGUGAUAUAGGUGUUAUGGUCAA
rnacentral:misc_RNA from 1 species